UUGGGCUCGGCCCCUUAGUUCCAGUGAAAGGAACUCUUAAUGCUUCAGCUUCAUACCAAGACAUUUUGGACAAUUUCAUGCUCUUUGUGGGAACAGUUUGGGGAUGACCCCUUCCUGUUCCAACAUGACUGCACAACAGUGACCAAAGCAAGGUCCAUAAAGACAUGGAUGAGUGAGUUUGGUGUGGAGGAACUUGACUGGCCUGCACAGAGUCCUGACCUCAACCCCAUAGAACACCUUUGGGAUGAAUUAGAGUGGAGACUGUGACCCAGACCUUCUCGUCCAACAUCAGUGCCUGACCUCACAAAUGCACUUCUAGAGGAAUGGUCAAAAAUUCCCAUAAACACACUCCUAAACCUUGUGGAAAGCCUUCCCAGAAGAGUUGAAGCUGUUAUAGCUGUAAAGGGGCGGUACAACUCCAUAUUACAUUCAUGUGCAGGUAAAGACAGAUGUCCCAAAACUUUUGGCAAUACAGUGUACAUGGUAUAUAAAGUUACAUACUGCUGCUUUAAUGCUUCCCACAAAGACAUGGCACAUUUCAUGAAGUACAGGUGCGCUGGGUGAUUAAUACACACGCCGUGUGUCUUCAUUGCGACUUUUACAGCCGAUGGCGACGUCAGCGUGCACUGCCUUGCCUCAUAUAUUUACUCAGCAUGAGUUCAUUUCCCUCUCAGCUCUCAAUCUAUCAUCUCUCUGUCUCUGUCUCUCUCUCUCUGUCUCUUUCUCUCUUUUUCUCUGCUUCUCUGUUCGACUCAUUUAACGCACUAAAUCUUUCACCGCUUGACUUGCGCUAUAACUGUCUUCACUCGCAUUCUUUCCUUCAGUCUUUCUCUCCAGCAUCCUCGUCAGGUGACACGAGUCAGGACUUAACGCUGCACUCUUUCCCUUAACUCUAGUUAAUGUCGCUCUACAGCGUCGAGUCUCCGCCCACAGUCUCCGUCACGAUCCCUACAGGAGUCUCCAGGGUCAGCGCGGGGUGACGGUCCGAGGUGGAGCUGGAACUGUAAGAUUCCCGACUUCUUCCGGACAGGAGGAGGCGGUUACGCUCUGCGGUUGCCUUGUAUGUUAUUAUGGACCACAGAUGACAUCAUGCUUUUCCCAUCAGGCUCAAGGUGCUUAUUAGCCUCCUGUAUGAGAGGCUGCCGUGUUUCCCCUCGAGGCCUGACGGCUCUCUUCCACAUUCUGAAGAACCAUACAGCUGACCGAGUCUCUCUCUUUGUCACACACACACACACACACGGAGACAUGUGGAGAACUAACCAGACUAAUCUCUCUGUAAAGUGGCCGCUCUGUGACCGCACUGUAAAGCAGGCCGUUUAGGCUAAAGAUUCGAGUGUAAAAGUUUACCGAAGUUCAACGAAGGACAUUUCAAAUCUUUCAGGUAACAAAAUGUCAACUUGUUAACUGCUUGUUUAAAUAUUAUCAGUAAAAAAAGACUAUAUCACACACCAUGAAGUCCCUCUUGUAAAUAUCCUAAAGGCACGGCGAGGUUAGAGUUCACACUGAUCCUCAGGAUGUCAUGGUCAUCAGAUCCUCUUCAGAUCAGGCUACAAGAGACAAACCUGAGAACUUUAAAUCUUUUGCUUCCUUAAAAAAAAGGAAAAUUAUGUUUAGGUGCACAUAUGACCAGACUACACUGAUGUGUGUGUGUGUGUGUGUGUGUGUGUGUGUGUGUGUGCUUGUGUGUGCGUGUGUGGAGAUGGAGGGGUCUUUAAUCUGGAAGAUCAAAAGACAGAGAUAACAGACAUUCCACCAAAGACAACUGUUUAAUAUCAUAUUAACAGAAACACGCUGCUCAUUCUGUCUCUCUCUCUCUCUCUCUCUUUCUCUCUCUCUAUCUCUAUCUGUAUAUCAUUCUCUCCCUGCACCAGUCUCUCUUUCUCUGUCUAUAUAUCAUGUCUGUCUCUCACUCCCUCUGUUUCAUUUUCAUUUCUACCAGUCUCUCUCUCCCUCCCUCUCUCUCUCUCUCUCUCUCUGUAUCUCAUUCUGUCUUUGACUGUAUCUCUGUCUUUCUGUCUCUCUCUCUGUAUAUCAUUCUCACCCUCUACCUGUCUUUUUCUCUCUCUCGCUCUCUCUCGUUCUCUUUUGCUCUCUCUCUCUGUCUCUCUCUCUGUCUCUCUCUCUCUCUCUCUCUCUCUAACAUUGACCUGGGUCACAUGACCCCUUCAAUGCUUCGUAAAGAAAAGCGAGGAACGAGGUGGAAGAGUGACGAAGGAGUGGAGGAAGGGAGCGAGCGAGUGAGUGAGUCGGCGUAACCAUACACCUCUUCCGCCCUGAACAAUCGACCACACCUACAAACUCUCUCACUCUCUCUCUCUCUCUCUCUCUCUCUCCCCACACCAUUGUGUUACCAUAUAAGGGCAAAAGAACACCGUGAGUGGGUGAGCAAGAGAGAGAGAGAGAGCAGAGGAAUUCAGCACUCUCUCUGGCUCUCUCUCACACACACACACACACACAGACUCUGCAAACUAUUUGCUUUUAGUUUAUUUGUCAAGUGCUAUCUACAGUGCAUACUCCACAUGCCAUCAGACUACACUGUGUGUGUGUGUGUGCGUGCGUGUGUGUGUGUAGUUGUUUAGAUGUUUGCUGUCUGAAGUUAACUUCUUGAUUUUGCCUCCGUUUCUGAGUAGUGAAAGUUUAUCUCACCCAAAAAGCUCUGUCUGUCAUAUGCAAGUUAUAAACCUUCACCCAACCAAUUCAUUUCAGUUCGAAUCAAUUCCAUUCAAACUAAUUUGAUUCAAAUUGAUUCAAUUGAUUUCAAAUUGAUUCUAUUCAAUUCAAAUAUAUUCCAUUCAAACAGAUUUGAUUCAUUUCGAAUUGAUUCAAUUCCAUUCAAGUCGAUUCAAUUCAAUUCCAACCGUUUUGAUUUGAAUUGAUUCGAUUCUUUUGGAAUCAAUUUGAUUCGAUUCCAACCAAUUCAAUUCAAACUGAUUAUAUUCAAAUUGAUUCAAUUCAUAUCAAAUAUUAAAUAUAUUUGAUUCAAUUAAAAUUAAAUUGAUUCAAUUAAAAUUCAGUUCAAACUGAUUCGAUUCAACUAGAUGCAAUUACAUUCAAAUGGAUUCAAAUCGAUUCAAUUCGAUUCCAACCAAUUCAAUUAAACUCAAUUCAAACUGAUUCAAUGCAAUUCAAUCUGUAAAACACAUAUAGCAAUAGAAAUGUAGAAUAAGAUGUGACGGUGUUAAGAAAUAUAAUUUACAGGUAAAGUGUUUGCUGAAAGGAAGUCCAUUAUGAAUAUAGUGAACUAUGUAACUAAGCGAUGUGAGUAAAACCUUCACACAAACAAAAGAACAGUUGGGAAAGAAACCAUCAGCAUUAACGCUGGAGAUGUUUGGCAAGACUUCACUUCUUAGAAUCCAGAGACAGGAAGUGAACUCUGGUGACGGUGACCUCUAGUGGAGGGGCAGGGUAUGGCCCCGGGAUGUGUCGUGACCAUGCUUGGACCUUGGAGUGCAGAUAAUCGAACAUCACAUGACAUCAGAUCAACAUGACUGUUCCACCGUUCCACUCUGGAGAGGCGGGGCUUAUGGAGGCACGUGCCUCCUGUACUGUUACAGCGAUCGGACCCAUGGUGGAG